rnacentral:lncRNA from 1 species
AAAUACUACUACAUAUGUACUUAUUAUAUGUGUAAAUAUGAUGAGGGAAAGCAAAAAUAAAAUAGGAAAUCGGCCUUUCAAAAAAAUUCAUACAUUGCCAAGUUAUUUAUAACCUUAAGGACAAAUCUUGAGAGUAAUUAUAUUGGAAUGCUUGAGUAUAUUAUGUUAAAAUGUUGGGGGGAAAUGGAUACCAAAGUAAGAAAGAAAUCCUCACAUGGGGCAAGCAAAACUUGUAUUUAAAAAACAUAAACAAUUAGUUACAAGACAGAACAAAGCUGAGCUCUCUACCUUACGUGCAAGUCGAGAUAAUGAGACUUAAACCUGAUCGGCAAAUUUCCAUUCGUGCGCUCCAUGCAGUUGGCUGUCUCCCGCAACACCUUUUACGCCAUUAGAAAGUCCAAAACGUUGAAGAGGAAGAAGAGCUCUGUCAGACAGGUCAAACUGGACCCGGAGGAGUUAAAGAGAACAGUCCAGGCCCAUCCCUCUAGUCCAUGAGGGCCCAUGCAAGAGAUAUCGUGUUUCACACAAGACUGUCCAGAAAGCUAUAAAAAGUGGGUGGAAAGAGCCUUGUGAGGGUGGAGAAGUCACUUUUCUUCUUCUUUUCAUUGCUGAAAGAAACCCAUCUUCUCUUUUGCAAGACUCUUUCAGUGAGUCUUUUGAACUCUUUUUUUGACAUUCGACUAGACCUUUUGGGUGGAUGUCGUAGUCUCCGUCAUCCAAACAUAGAGGCCCUCAAAACCACUUUCAGCCAGUACUUGGACGCCAUGACAGAGGAAUACAUCUGCAGCAGGUCCGAGGCCUUCCACUGCCACCUAGAAGCCAUCAUUGCCGCUAAAAGCGGCUAAAUUAAUUAUUAAGAGAGCUCAGACACACAUCUAUUUAUAGUAUUAAUUAUGUUAAAAUUAUAUUUUAAUUAAUAAAUUAUAACUUGUUGAAGUUUCAAAUUCAAAGUGUUCAGAUUUUAAUGGACCACUUGGUAUAUACCUAGGACCAAAAACGUAAAUUUUAAUGUUUUAAAACAUACAUUAAGUGAAGUAAUUCUUUACUUAAAUAGGAUCUAUUUGAGAAUAUAAUAUUUCAACAUAUUAUUUCUUAUGGCGGUGGGCUAUGGUCUUGCAAAUCAUUUAUCAUAGAUUGUUAAUAUUUAAGCAGCUCUAAAUAUCUGGAAUUAGACUGAGCAUUGGCUCUAAUAUGAAAAAUUGACACUUUUUAACAAAAUUGAUCAAACAUUGUACAAUUGCGCCAAUUAGACAGAUCUUGUUAUAUAAUGAAUGAAGCAAGUUUUUCUUAAUCUAUGAUUGAAUACGUGAUUCAUGGUCAAACAAACUUGUGCUUACAUAGUUAGAAAUGUAAAAGCAAAAUCAAGUUUGCAACAUAGUAACGACUUUUCGGUGACCUAGAAUUAAAUUGUGCGUGAAUAUUUAAGGCAAUUUUUAAACUAUCUUAAUAAGUGUACAACUAUAUUGGAUAAUGCAUUCCAGUGAAUAAUUUUGCUUCCAUAAUAUAUUUUUAUUAAGCUGGUACAAAUAAUGCAACAAUAGCUAUCGACCAUAGUUAAAGACCAUAAAUGUAAGGCAUAAAAUGACAUACUUCGUUGAAAAA